GACCUGAUGGCACAAUGAUUAGUGUGUCUGUUCAAUUUGGAGGAGCAACGUGCUUAUAUGCAGAAGAUCCCGGUUCGAAUCCGGGUCAGGUCA